CACGUAGGCACCAAGCGUUGUCCGGAUUUAUUGGGCGUAAAGAGCUCGUAGGUGGUUCAGUAAGUCGGGUGUGAAACCUCCAGGCUCAACCUGGAGACGCCACCCGAUACUGCUGUGACUAGAGUCCAGUAGGGGAGCAUGGAAUUCCUGGUGUAGCGGUGAAAUGCGCAGAUAUCAGGAGGAACACCAGUGGCGAAGGCGGUGCUCUGGGCUGGAACUGACACUGAGGAGCGAAAGCGUGGGGAGCGAACAGG
rnacentral:rRNA from 1 species